UACGUAGGGUGCGAGCGUUGUCCGGAAUUACUGGGCGUAAAGAGCUCGUAGGCGGUUUGUCACGUCGUCUGUGAAAUCCUGCAACUCAAUUGUAGGCGUGCAGGCGAUACGGGCAGACUUGAGUACUACAGGGGAGACUGGAAUUCCUGGUGUAGCGGUGAAAUGCGCAGAUAUCAGGAGGAACACCGGUGGCGAAGGCGGGUCUCUGGGUAGUAACUGACGCUGAGGAGCGAAAGCGUGGGGAGCAAACAGGAUUAGAUACCCUGGUAGUCCACGCCGUAAACGGUGGGUACUAGGUGUGGGGCUCAUUUCACGAGUUCUGUGCCGUAGCUAACGCAUUAAGUACCCCGCCUGGGGAGUACGGCCGCAAGGCUAAA
rnacentral:rRNA from 1 species